UUCCAGACUCCUACGGGAGGCAGCAGUGGGGAAUAUUGGGCAAUGGGCGCAAGCCUGACCCAGCAAUGCCGCGUGAAGGAAGAAGGCUUUCGGGUUGUAAACUUCUUUGACAGGGGAAGAGCAGAAGACGGUACCCUGAAAACAAGCCACGGCUAACUACGUGCCAGCAGCCGCGGUAAUACGUAGGGAGCAAGCGUUGUCCGGAAUUACUGGGCGUAAAGGGCGCGUAGGUGGGCGCUUAAGUCAGGUGUGAAAACUCCGGGCUCAACCUGGAGACUGCACUUGAAACUGGGUGUCUUGAGGGCAGGAGAGGAAAGUGGAAUUCCUAGUGUAGCGGUGAAAUGCGUAGAUAUUAGGAGGAACACCAGUGGCGAAGGCGACUUUCUGGACUGUACCUGACGCUGAGGCGCGAAAGCGUGGGUAGCGAACGGGAUUAGAUACCCGUGUAC
rnacentral:rRNA from 1 species